rnacentral:rRNA from 1 species
GAACCUACGGGAGGCAGCAGUGGGGAAUAUUGGGCAAUGGGCGCAAGCCUGACCCAGCAACGCCGCGUGAAGGAAGAAGGCUUUCGGGUUGUAAACUUCUUUUAAGAGGGAAGAGCAGAAGACGGUACCCCUUGAAUAAGCCACGGCUAACUACGAGCCAGCAGCCGCGGUAAUACGUAGGUGGCAAGCGUUGUCCGGAUUUACUGGGUGUAAAGUGCGUGUAGCCGGGCUGACAAGUCAUAUGUUAACUCCGGGGUCUCAACCCCUGAACUGCAUUUGAAACUGUUGGUCUUGAUUAUCG